CUCAGCAGCCAUAUCACCCUGCAACUCACAACUGGCAGCCCACUGAAGCUAAGCAGGUAUGAGCCUGGUAUCUACCUGGAUGGGAAACCUCCUGGGAAAAACUAAGAUUGCUGUUGGAA
rnacentral:rRNA from 1 species